rnacentral:rRNA from 1 species
AACGAACGCUGGCGGCAGGCCUAACACAUGCAAGUCGAACGAUAUAGUGGCAGACGGGUGAGUAACGCGUGGGGAUGUGCCCUUCAGUACGGAAUAGCUCUUGGAAACGAGUGGUAAUACCGUAUACGCCCUUAGGGGGAAAGAUUUAUCGCUGAAGGAUCAACCCGCGUUAGAUUAGCUAGUUGGUGAGGUAACGGCUCACCAAGGCGACGAUCUAUAGCUGGUCUGAGAGGAUGAUCAGCCACACUGGGACUGAGACACGGCCCAGACUCCUACGGGAGGCAGCAGUGGGGAAUCUUGCACAAUGGGCGAAAGCCUGAUGCAGCCAUGCCGCGUGAAUGAUGAAGGCCCUAGGGUUGUAAAAUUCUUUCAUCAGGGAUGAUAAUGACAGUACCUGAAGAAGAAGCUCCGGCUAACUUCG